rnacentral:rRNA from 1 species
GGCUCCCUGUUUUCAUUAUAUAGGGAGUCGGACCUGCCCAGUGAAAUUUUUUAACGGCCGCGGUACUCUGACCGUGCAAAGGUAGCAUAAUCAUUUGCCUUAUAAUUGAAGGCUAGUAUGAAUGGUUUGACAAGAAUAUCACUGUCUCUUUAUAAUUUAUUAGAACUUUAUUUUAAGGUGAAGAAGCCUUAAUAAAAUUGAUAGACAAGAAGACCCUAUCGAGCUUUAAAAAAAUUAAUAGAUUUUAAUCUAAUAGAAAUUAAAAAGUCAACUAUUAAAUAUUUUGGUUGGGGCGACUGAGGAACAAAUAAACGCUUCCUUUAUUACAUAUAGACAUACAGGUUUUGAUCCAAAACUUUUGAUUAAAGAAAUUAGUUACCGUAGGGAUAACAGCAUAAUCUUUUUUAAGAGCUCUUAUCGAAAAAAAGGUUUGUGACCUCGAUGUUGGACCAGAAUAUCCUAAAGAUGCAGAAGUCUUUAAGGGUUGGUCUGUUCGACCAUUAAAAUUCU